rnacentral:rRNA from 1 species
GAGAAUGUUAUCACGGGAGACACACGGCGGGUGCUAACGUCCGUCGUGAAGAGGGAAACAACCCAGACCGCCAGCUAAGGUCCCAAAGUCAUGGUUAAGUGGGAAACGAUGUGGGAAGGCCCAGACAGCCAGGAUGUUGGCUUAGAAGCAGCCAUCAUUUAAAGAAAGCGUAAUAGCUCACUGGUCGAGUCGGCCUGCGCGGAAGAUGUAACGGGGCUAAACCAUGCACCGAAGCUGCGGCAGCGACGCUUAUGCGUUGUUGGGUAGGGGAGCGUUCUGUAAGCCUGCGAAGGUGUGCUGUGAGGCAUGCUGGAGGUAUCAGAAGUGCGAAUGCUGACAUAAGUAACGAUAAAGCGGGUGAAAAGCCCGCUCGCCGGAAGACCAAGGGUUCCUGUCCAACGUUAAUCGGGGCAGGGUGAGUCGACCCCUAAGGCGAGGCCGAAAGGCGUAGUCGAUGGGAAACAGGUUAAUAUUCCUGUACUUGGUGUUACUGCGAAGGGGGGACGGAGAAGGCUAUGUUGGCCGGGCGACGGUUGUCCCGGUUUAAGCGUGUAGGCUGGUUUUCCAGGCAAAUCCGGAAAAUCAAGGCUGAGGCGUGAUGACGAGGCACUACGGUGCUGAAGCAACAAAUGCCCUGCUUCCAGGAAAAGCCUCUAAGCAUCAGGUAACAUCAAAUCGUACCCCAAACCGACACAGGUGGUCAGGUAGAGAAUACCAAGGCGCUUGAGAGAACUCGGGUGAAGGAACUAGGCAAAAUGGUGCCGUAACUUCGGGAGAAGGCACGC